GACGAACGCUGGCGGCGUGCCUAACACAUGCAAGUCGAACGAAGAGCGAUGGAAGCUUGCUUCUAUCAAUCUUAGUGGCGAACGGGUGAGUAACGCGUAAUCAACCUGCCCUUCAGAGGGGGACAACAGUGGGAAACGACUUCUAAUACCGCAUACGAUCUAAUCUCGGCAUCGAGGAUAGAUGAAAGGUGGUCUCUACAUGUAAGCUAUCACUGAAGGAGGGGUUUGCGUCUGAUUAGCUAGUUGGUGGGGUAAAGGCCCACCAAGGCGAAGAACAGUAGCCGGUCUGGGAGGAGGGACGGCCCACAUGGGAAUGGAGCCACGCCCAAAAUCCUACGGGGAGGAGCAGGGGGGGAACUUUCGGAAAGGAGGAAAGGCUGACCGGAGAACGCCGGGUGAGGGGAUGAGGCCUUCGGGUUGUAAAACUCUGUUAAUCGGGAAGGAAGGACUUCUUACGAAUAGUGAGAAGGAUUGACGGUACCGGAACAGAAAGCCACGGCUAACUACGUG
rnacentral:rRNA from 1 species